rnacentral:rRNA from 1 species
CCUACGGGGGGCAGCAGUGGGGAAUAUUGCACAAUGGGGGAAACCCUGAUGCAGCGACGCCGCGUGAGUGAAGAAGGAAUUCGGUAUGUAAAGCUCUAUCAGCAGGGAAGAAAAUGACGGUACCUGAGUAAGAAGCCCCGGCUAACUACGUGCCAGCAGCCGCGGUAAUACGUAGGGGGCAAGCGUUAUCCGGAUUUACUGGGUGAAAAGGGAGCGUAGACGGCAGUGCAAGUCUGGAGUGAAAGGCGGGGGCUCAACCCCCGGACUGCUCGGGAAACUGUACGGCUGGAGUGCAGGAGAGGUAAGUGGCCUUCCUCGUGUAGCGGUGCACUGCGUCGCUCUUAGGCGGCACACCAGUGGCGACGGCGGCUUACUGGACUGUAACUGACGUUGAGGCUC